rnacentral:misc_RNA from 1 species
GAUGAAGAACGCAGCGAAAUGCGAUAAGUAGUGUGAAUUGCAGAAUUUAGUGAAUCAUCGAAUCUUUGAACGCACAUUGCGCCCUUUGGUAUUCCUUAGGGCAUGCCUGUUCGAGCGUCAUUUAACCCCUUCAAGCUCUGCUUGGUGUUGGGCGUUUGUCCCGCCUCGUGCGCGGACUCGCCUUAAAAUCAUUGGCGGCCUUUGGAUUCGGCUCGAGCGCAGCACAUCGCGUCUCGGCCCGGCCCGCUGGCGUCCAGCAAGCGCAACUUUAUUUUGACCUCGGAUCAGGUAGGGAUACCCGCUGAACUUAAGCAUAUCAAUAAGCGGAGGA